UACGGAGGGUGCAAGCGUUAUCCGGAUUCACUGGGUUUAAAGGGUGCGUAGGAGGGCAGGGAAGUCAGUGGUGAAAUCUCCGGGCUUAACUCGGGAACUGCCGUUGAUACUCUCUGUCUUGAAUCCCGUGGAGGUGAGCGGAAUAUGUCAUGUAGCGGUGAAAUGCUUAGAUAUGACAUAGAACACCAAUUGCGAAGGCAGCUCACUACACGAAGAUUGACUCUGAGGCACGAAAGCGUGGGGAUCAAACAGG
rnacentral:rRNA from 1 species